ensembl:lncRNA
AAAAACAAGCAAUAUAACUUUAUUGCGCAUUAUCUACAUAUGUACAGUAUAACACAGCAGUAUUUCAGGAUUGCACAGGCCACUGUGGCUCACAUACCUACAUACAUACAUACAUACAUACAUACAAACACAUACACACAGAUCUUUGGCUUCAGUGAACAACAGACGCAGGAGUACCAGAGGAAUAUUCACGGUCCUUUAUAGGCGUAUACAGUUUUCUGAUGCUGUUAGUGGCUUUAACAGGUUGGAUGAAAGGUUACAAAUCUAAAAUUUCACAAGGAAGGGGGAAGAAAGAAAAAAACAUCGGACAUGGGAACGACUACAUGAUGUUUAUCUAUUCAACUGUUCCGCACAAAAGUGUGUUAUUGAAUCGUAGGAGGAUUUCAUCAGUCUGUGCUAACCAUCAUCACACUGUGGGAAGGUCACACAAAGAGAGAGAGAGAGAUCCAUGCACUGACAUGUCUAAAAUGACAGACUGACAUAUAGAAGCAUGGGAUUGUGGGCAGAUACGAACUCUUAUCACGGUUAGUCAGAGGCGUGGAUGAGGAAGGGAGGACAGUCCGAAUGGAUGGUUAGCAUAACACACGUACCGCGCAGAUUAUUAUAUAUGUGUGAAAUAACAUUGUCGUGCAUCAUUAUGAGUCCUCCGUAUUUAAUGAAUGCCUCUCUUAGCUUGCUCGGGUCACAUUGAGUGAGAAACAGGAUUAACCAAUCAGGAUGCAUUAUCAGCUCAGGGAUGUCAAAGUGAUGGCAAAUGAAGAAACACAGCUUGUUGGGGUUUUUUUUUUUUUUUUUACAGCAGGAGAAGAAAUAUUUGGAGUUUGGACUUGGAGUUCUGGCAUGUUUUGACGUCCUGGAAUGUUGUAAGAUGGGUCGGUUUGCCGGAAUGUUCAAGAUCAUUAGUGAUUGGUAUUGUUUUGGGAUUGAUCAGGCUUUUAGAGCACUUGAGAACGGAUCGAUGUUCUUGAAUUCAUGCGAAUGGGUUGGGUAUGUAGCUCCAGAAUGAGAGUAAGAGUUUAUAGAGAUUCAGAAAUGGCAUGUGUUGUGGAAUGUAGAAGCUUCUACAAGCUUGUUGAAUUCAUCUGGUGGUGCUUUGUGUGGGUUCAGUGUUCUGGAAUGAGUUGGUAUUUUAAUAUGUUCUAAGAUG